rnacentral:rRNA from 1 species
GACGAACGCUGGCGGCGUGCUUAACACAUGCAAGUCGAACGAUGAAGCCGGAGCUUGCUCUGGUGAAUUAGUGGCGAACGGGUGAGUAACACGUGAGUAACCUGCCCUUGACUCUGGGAUAACUGCGGGAAACUGUAGCUAAUACCGGAUACGACCCUCGGAGGCACCUCCUGGGGGUGGAAAGAAUUUCGGUCAAGGAUGGACUCGCGGCCUAUCAGCUAGUUGGUGAGGUAACGGCUCACCAAGGCGACGACGGGUAGCCGGCCUGAGAGGGUGACCGGGCACACUGGGACUGAGACACGGCCCAGACUCCUACGGGAGGCAGCAGUGGGGAAUAUUGCGCAAUGGGCGAAAGCCUGACGCAGCAACGCCGCGUGCGGGAUGACGGCCUUCGGGUUGUAAACCGCUUUCAGCAGGGAAGAAGCCGCAAGGUGACAGUACCUGCAGAAGAAGCACCGGCUAACUACGUGUCAGCCGCCGCAGUAA